AUUGAACGCUGGCGGCAGGCCUAACACAUGCAAGUCGAGCGGAUGAAGGGAGCUUGCUCCUGGAUUCAGCGUCGGACGGGUGAGUAAUGCCUAGGAAUCUGCCUGGUAGUGGGGGAUAACGUCCGGAAACGGGCGCUAAUACCGCAUACGUCCUGAGGGAGAAAGUGGGGGAUCUUCGGACCUCACGCUCUCAGAUGAGCCUAGGUCGGAUUAGCUAGUUGGUGGGGUAAAGGCCUACCAAGGCGACGAUCCGUAACUGGUCUGAGAGGAUGAUCAGUCACACUGGAACUGAGACACGGUCCAGACUCCUACGGGAGGCAGCAGUGGGGAAUAUUGGACAAUGGGCGAAAGCCUGAUCCAGCAAUGCCGCGUGUGUGAAGAAGGUCUUCGGAUUGUAAAGCACUUUAAGUUGGGAGGAAGGGCAGUAAGUUAAUACCUUGCUGUUUUGACGUUACCAACAGAAUAAGCACCGGCUAACUUCGUG
rnacentral:rRNA from 1 species